rnacentral:lncRNA from 1 species
CGAUUGGGUACUUAGCGUGCUGCAGUUUUCGCUUGUUUAAGGUUGUCCUGCGUGUUUUGCUAGGCUUCUUUGUUUGAUCUCUUUGGUUUGACGAGCUCAUUUUCAAUACUCGGGUCCUUAGUCUGCUAUCUUGUGCUUUCAAGGGAUCCUAUUUUUUCUUUUUUCUUUUUUUUUUUAUAAAAUCUCAAUUUAAUAACAAGUUUAAAUAUACAAAUUAAGAACUAGUUGUAGUAUUUAGACAAUGUGGGAAGUUUGCCUAACACCACAAUUGAGAAAAGGCAAUAUUGACAGCAAAUGAAGUUCGAACAACAAUGGUCUAAUCACAAGAGAGCCAUGAGGAGCACCAACGAUUUAUCCUCCACGAAGAUCGGAAAAUUAACUGUUGCUUGUCGUUGCC